AUUGAACGCUGGCGGCAGGCCUAACACAUGCAAGUCGAGCGGAUGAAGGGAGCUUGCUCCUGGAUUCAGCGGCGGACGGGUGAGUAAUGCCUAGGAAUCUGCCUGGUAGUGGGGGAUAACGUCCGGAAACGGGCGCUAAUACCGCAUACGUCCUGAGGGAGAAAGUGGGGGAUCUUCGGACCUCACGCUAUCAGAUGAGCCUAGGUCGGAUUAGCUAGUUGGUGGGAUAAAGGCCUACCAAGGCGACGAUCCGUAACCGGUCUGAGAGGAUGAUCAGUCACACUGGAACUGAGACACGGUCCAGACUCCUACGGGAGGCAGCAGUGGGGAAUAUUGGACAAUGGGCGAAAGCCUGAUCCAGCCAUGCCGCGUGUGUGAAGAAGGUCUUCGGAUUGUAAAGCACUUUAAGUUGGGAGGAAGGGCAGUAAGUUAAUACCUUGCUGUUUUGACGUUACCAACAGAAUAAGCACCGGCUAACUUCGUG
rnacentral:rRNA from 1 species